GCAUUCUUGGAUUCUUCUAGCCUUGCUUGCCUUGUGUGCUACUCGGCGCUUUCAUCGUUCGUCGGCGUUGAUUCGACAACAAUUUGAUGGCACGCUUCUAGUGUCUCUGAAGGUCCUCCUAUGUCAGGCAGAAUUUCUGUGAUGAAGCGUUAGGGGUGCAAAUAUAUGCCUCUGCCAAGGACAGCGAAGCUAACGCCACUCUCCUCGAUUACAUUAG
rnacentral:misc_RNA from 1 species